rnacentral:lncRNA from 1 species
GCCACUGCACUCCAGCCUGGGUGAUAGAGCCAGACUCUGUCUCAAAUAUAAAUAGAUAAAUAAAAUUUUAAAAAAUUAAAAAAAUAGAGUGUUUGUAAAGGCCAGGCGUGGUGACUCACACCUGUAACCCCAGCACUUUGGGAGGCCAAGGCAGGAGGAUCACUUGAGGUCAGGAGUUUAAGACCAGCUUGGGCAACAUAGCGAGACCCUGUCUCUACAAUAAAAAAUUAUUUGGACAUGGUGGUGCGUGCCUGUAGUCCCAGCUACUCAGGAGGCUGAGGUGGGAGGAUCGUUUGAGCCUGGGAGGUUGAGGCUUCAGGGAAAUGUGGUCAUGCUACUGCACUUCAGCCUGGUGGCAGAGUGAGACCCUGCCUCAAAAAAAUAAAAAAUAAAUGAUUGUAAACAUAGAAUUGGGGAAGACUGGGUGAAAUUCACCAUCAGCUGUGUUGUUGAUAUCUUGUUGCACGUGGUUUUGACAGCAAAUACCCUCAACAUUGAGAAAUGUACUGAUUUUCAUGACUAGUCUAUUUUGAAGUGAUGGCCUUUUAAGGGACCACAGCCAAACCAUUUUGGGCAGAGGUGGUGAGCACCUUAAGGGAAGUAGAAAUUCCUUCAUAUUGACACUCAUUCCGCAAAGAGGAAUUUGCUGAAAUCAGAAACAUGGACUCAGAAAGCAGGUCUGAUUGAAGCAGAAAAGCGUUUGAAAAAAAAAAAAUCCAACACUCAUUUCUCCAGCCUGGGCGAGAGAGCAAGACGCCGUCUCAAAAAA